rfam:Physcomitrella patens subsp. patens chloroplast DNA, complete genome.
GCAUCCAUAGCUGAACGGUUAAAGCACCCAACUCAUAAUUGGAGAAUUCGCAGGUUCAACUCCUGUUGGAUGCA